rnacentral:rRNA from 1 species
UGCCAGACUCCUACGGGAGGCAGCAGUGGGGGAUAUUGCACAAUGGGGGGAACCCUGAUGCAGCGACGCCGCGUGGGUGAAGAAGCGCCUCGGCGCGUAAAGCCCUGUCAGCAGGGAAGAAAAUGACGGUACCUGCAAAGGAAGCACCGGCUAACUCCGUGCCAGCAGCCGCGGUAAUACGGAGGGUGCGAGCGUUAAUCGGAAUUACUGGGCGUAAAGCGCUCGUAGGCGGUAUGUCAAGUCAAGGGUGAAAUCCCCGCGCUCAACGUGGGAACUGCCUUUGAAACUGGCAAACUGGAGUGUGUGAGAGGAUAGUGGAAUUCCAGGUGUAGGAGUGAAAUCCGUAGAUAUCUGGAGGAACAUCAGUGGCGAAGGCGACUAUCUGGCACAUAACUGACGCUGAGGAGCGAAAGCGUGGGUAGCAAACAGGAUUAGAUACCCCUGUA